UGCGCAGGCGGUUAUUUAAGUCAGGUGUGAAAGCCCUGGGCUUAACCUAGGAAUUGCGCUUGAGACUGGAUAGCUUGGAGUGUGGCAGAGGGAGGUGGAAUUCCACGUGUAGCAGUGAAAUGCGUAGAGAUGUGGAGGAACACCGAUGGCGAAGGCAGCCUCCUGGGCCAGCACUGACGCUCAUGCACGAAAGCGUGGGGAGCAAACA
rnacentral:rRNA from 1 species